AGUGAACGCUGGCGGUAGGCCUAACACAUGCAAGUCGAACGGCAGCACAGUAAGAGCUUGCUCUUACGGGUGGCGAGUGGCGGACGGGUGAGGAAUACAUCGGAAUCUACUUUUUCGUGGGGGAUAACGUAGGGAAACUUACGCUAAUACCGCAUACGACCUACGGGUGAAAGCAGGGGAUCUUCGGACCUUGCGCGAUUGAAUGAGCCGAUGUCGGAUUAGCUAGUUGGCGGGGUAAAGGCCCACCAAGGCGACGAUCCGUAGCUGGUCUGAGAGGAAGAUCACACACGCUGGAACUGAGACACGGUCGGGACUACUACGAGAGGGAGCAGGCGGGAAUAGUGGAGAAUGGGAGCAAGCCGGAUUCAGGCAUAAUGCGGGGGUGAAGAAGGCAUCGGGGUCGUAAAGCCUUGUUGGGGUGAAAGAAGAGCAACAGUUUAAUAUACCGCGGAUCUGACGGUACUAAAAGAAUAAGAACCGGCUAAUUUCGUG
rnacentral:rRNA from 1 species